GAUGAACGCUAGCGGCAGGCUUAACACAUGCAAGUCGAGGGGUAGAAGCAGCUUGCUGCUUUGAGACCGGCGCACGGGUGCGUAACGCGUAUGCAAUCUACCUUUUACAGAGGGAUAGCCCAGAGAAAUUUGGAUUAAUACCUCAUAGUAUGUGAGAAUCGCAUGGUUUUCACAUUAAAGUUCCAACGGUAAAAGAUGAGCAUGCGUCCCAUUAGCUAGAUGGUAAGGUAACGGCUUACCAAGACAAUGAUGGGUAGGGGUCCUGAGAGGGAGAUCCCCCCACACUGGUACUGAGACACGGACCAGACUCCUACGGGAGGCAGCAGUGAGGAAUAUUGGUCAAUGGGCGCAAGCCUGAACCAGCCAUGCCGCGUGCAGGAAGACGGUCCUAUGGAUUGUAAACUGCUUUUAUACAGGAAGAAACCCUCCCACGUGUGGGAGCUUGACGGUACUGUAGGAAUAAGGAUCGGCUAACUCCGUGCCAG
rnacentral:rRNA from 1 species